GAGUUUGAUCAUGGCUCAGGACGAACGCUGGCGGCACGCCUAACACAUGCAAGUCGAACGGAGAUAUUUUGGUUUACUGAGAUAUCUUAGUGGCGGACGGGUGAGUAACACGUGAGCAACCUGCCUYUGAGAGGGGGAUAGCUUCUGGAAACGGAUGGUAAUACCUCAUAACAUAACGAAGCCGCAUGACUUUGUUAUCAAAGAUUUAUCACUCAGAGAUGGGCUCGCGUCUGAUUAGAUAGUUGGUGAGGUAACGGCUCACCAAGUCGACGAUCAGUAGCCGGACUGAGAGGUUGAACGGCCACAUUGGGACUGAGACACGGCCCAGACUCCUACGGGAGGCAGCAGUGGGGAAUAUUGCACAAUGGGGGAAACCCUGAUGCAGCGAUGCCGCGUGGAGGAAGAAGGUUUUCGGAUUGUAAACUCCUGU
rnacentral:rRNA from 1 species